GACGAACGCUGGCGGCGUGCUUAACACAUGCAAGUCGAACGGAAAGGCCUGCUUUCCCUUGUGGUUUGCGGGUACUCGAGUGGCGAACGGGUGAGUAACACGCGAGUGAUCUGCCCCCAACUUGGGUAUAAGCCUGGGAAACUGGGUCUAAUUCUCGAUAGGACUGCAGGGUGGUGCCUGUGGUGGAAAACGAUUUUCUAGUGGUUGGGGAUGAGCUCGCGGCCUAUCAGCUUGUUGGUGGGGUAAUGGACUACCAAGGCGGGGACGGGAAGCCGGCCUGAGAGGGGGGACGGCCGCAUUGGGACUGGGAUACGGCCCAGACUGCUACGGGAGGCAGCAGUUGGGAAGAAUGGGCAAUGAGCGGGAGCCUGAUGCAGCGACGCCGCGUGGGAGAUGUCGGGCUUCGAGUUGUAAGCUCCUUGCGACCGCGAGGAAGCCACGUGGUUGGAAGGGUGGUGACGGUAGUGGUAGAAGAAGCACCGGCUAACUACGUG
rnacentral:rRNA from 1 species